GAAAAGACACGGAUAGACGUAUCCUAAAGGAAGAGGGAGGAGGAUGGCGAAGGAGAGAAGAAUGCCGUGACUAUUCUCGUAUUCUACCUGGCUCUGACUACAGGGAUUUCGCACAAAGACAUAUGAUAAAGAAUGGAGAAGGGGCUUCCCUGGUGGCACAGUGAUUAAGAAUCUGCCUGCCAAUGCAGGGGACAGGGGUUUGAUCCCUGGUCCGUGAAGAUCCCACAUGCCGUGGAGCAACUAAGCCCGUGUGCCACAACUACUGAGCCUGCGCUCUAGAGCCUGAGAGCCACAACUACUGAGCCCGCACGCCACAACUACUGAAGCCCAUGCACCUAGAGUCCGUGCUCCACAAUGAGAGAAGCCACUGCAAUGAGAAGUCCAUGCACCGCAAUGAAGAGUAGCCCCCGCUCACCACAACUAGAGAAAGCCCGUGUGCAGCAACGAAGA